UUCGGCUCAAAGAGGGGUUCGCGUCCUAUCAGGUAGUUGGUGGGGUAAUGGCCUACCAAGCCAAUGACGGGUAGCUGGUCUUAGAGGAUGAUCAGCCACAGUGGGACUGAGACACGGCCCGCACCCCUACGGGGGGCAGCAGUGGGGAAUCGUGGGCAAUGGGCGCAAGCCUGACCCCGCAAUGCCGCGUGAGGGAAGAAGCCCUUCGGGGUGUAAACCUCUGUCAGAUGGGAAGAUGGGACUAGGGGCUAAUACCUCCUGGUCUUGACGGUACC
rnacentral:rRNA from 1 species